rnacentral:rRNA from 1 species
UUUCCUACGGGGGGCAGCAGUGGGGAAUAUUGGGCAAUGGGCGCAAGCCUGACCCAGCGACGCCGCGUGAGGGAAGACGGUCUUCGGAUUGUAAACCUCUUUCAGCAGGGAAGACAAAAGGACGGUACCUGCAGAAGAAGCCACGGCUAACUACGUGCCAGCAGCCGCGGUAAUACGUAGGUGGCAAGCGUUAUCCGGAAUUACUGGGUGUAAAGGGUGUGUAGGCGGGUUUGCAAGUCAGAUGUGAAAAUUAUGGGGUCAACCCAUAACCUGCGUCUGAAACUACAGAUCUUGAGGGUGGGCGG